GGUAAAAUGGCUGAAUUUUUAGGCGAUAAAUUGUAAAUUUAUUUAUGAUAUUUUCUUUUACUA
rnacentral:tRNA from 1 species